GUUAGCGGCGGACGGGUGAGUAACACGUGGGUAACCUGCCUGUAAGACUGGGAUAACUCCGGGAAACCGGAGCUAAUACCGGAUAGUUCCUUGAACCGCAUGGUUCAAGGAUGAAAGACGGUUUCGGCUGUCACUUACAGAUGGACCCGCGGCGCAUUAGCUAGUUGGUGAGGUAACGGCUCACCAAGGCGACGAUGCGUAGCCGACCUGAGAGGGUGAUCGGCCACACUGGGACUGAGACACGGCCCAGACUCCUACGGGAGGCAGCAGUAGGGAAUCUUCCGCAAUGGACGAAAGUCUGACGGAGCAACGCCGCGUGAGUGAUGAAGGUUUUCGGAUCGUAAAGCUCUGUUGUUAGGGAAGAACAAGUGCAAGAGUAACUGCUUGCACCUUGACGGUACCUAACCAGAAAGCCACGGCUAACUACGUGCCAGCAGCCGCGGUAAUACGUAGGUGGCAAGCGUUGUCCGGAAUUAUUGGGCGUAAAGGGCUCGCAGGCGGUUUCUUAAGUCUGAUGUGAAAGCCCCCGGCUCAUCCGGGGAGGGUCAUUGGAAACUGGGAAACUUGAGUGCAGAAGAGGAGAGUGGAAUUCCACGUGUAGCGUGAAAUGCGUAGAGAUGUGGAGGAACACCAGUGGCGAAGGCGACUCUCUGGGUCUGUAUCUGACGCUGAGGAGCGAAUGCGUGGGGAGCGAACAGGAAUUAGAUCCCCUGGUAGUUCACGCCGUAAACG
rnacentral:rRNA from 1 species